rnacentral:rRNA from 1 species
ACAGAGGGUGCGAGCGUUGUUCGGAAUUACUGGGCGUAAAGCGUGCGCAGGCGGUUGUGUAAGACAGGUGUGAAAUCCCCGGGCUUAACCUGGGAACUGCGCUUGUGACUGCACGGCUAGAGUACGGCAGAGGGGGGUGGAAUUCCACGUGUAGCAGUGAAAUGCGUAGAGAUGUGGAGGAACACCGAUGGCGAAGGCGGCUACCUGGACCGGUUCUGACGCUGAUGCGCGAAAGCGUGGGUAGCAAACAGGA